rnacentral:tRNA from 1 species
GGGGAUAUAGCUCAGUUGGUAGAGUACUUGCCUUUCAUGCACGAGGCCCUGGGUUCAAUACCCAGCACCA